GCUGUGUCCCCUUCAGGAAUUAUCAUAAGCACCACAGUUGCCCAGGCUGGUUUGGACUCUCCAGUCAAGCCAAGACCUGUAAGUAAUAGCUCAGGGGGAACUCUGAUGGGGGUCAUAAGGGGCUCUGGGCGAGGUGUUGUGAAAUCUGAUGCUUCAUAUUCAGGAUCAUCCAGUGGAGUUUCUACCUUCACUGCUACUGCUGGUUCAUCAACAAAUGCAGAUACAUCU
rnacentral:misc_RNA from 1 species